rfam:Neotoma lepida isolate 417 scaffold_3528, whole genome shotgun sequence.
UGUUUGCUCCUCCUGUGAUGAAGCUGAGAGGCUGCUGGGUUUAGAGAUGCGUUUUAGAGUUGUUGCAGGUGGUGUAGGCCUCUGCAGCACUGAAGUAAGGCAGAGCUAUGAGGCAACCAGAAGCCACGAAUUCCAUGAUCCAGUUCCUUCUCUGCAUCUAUAGGGAGUGGACUCUGAUUUAAAUGCUGUGAACUGUUCCUGGUCAUGUACCAAAUUCUCCUCAAUAUCUUUUUUUUAAAUUGAAAAUAGGUUCUUCUCUCAUCCUGACCACAGUUUGCC